rnacentral:rRNA from 1 species
AGAGUUUGAUCAUGGCUCAGGAUGGACGCUGGCGGCGUGCCUAAUACAUGCAAGUCGAACGGGAGUACUUACUUCGGUUUUUACUCCUAGUGGCGAACGGGUGAGUAACGCGUUGGUGACCUGCCCCGAAGAGGGGAAUAACAGUUCGAAAGGACUGCUAAUACCCCAUGUGGUCGUACUGGUUAGAGGCUGUACGACUAAAGGAGUAAUCCACUUCGGGAGGGGCCUGCGUCCCAUCAGCUAGUUGGUAAGGUAACGGCCUACCAAGGCGAUGACGGGUAGGGGACCUGAGAGGGUGGCCCCCCACACUGGCACUGAAACACGGGCCAGACAUCUACGGAUGGCAGCAGUAGGGAAUAUUGCACAAUGGGCGAAAGCCUGAUGCAGCAACGCCGCGUGCGCGAAGAAGGCCUUCGGGUUGUAAAGCGCUUUUCUGGAGGAAGAGGAAGGACGGUACUCCAGGAAUAAGGAUCGGCUAACUACGUGCCAGCAGCCGCGGUAACACGUAGGAUCCGAGCGUUAUCCGAAUUUACUGGGCGUAAAGCGCGUGUAGGCGGUCGGGUAAGUUGGACGUGAAAGCUCCUGGCUCAACUAGGAGAGGUCGUUCAAAACUGCCUGGCUAGAGGGCGACAGAGGGAGGUGGAAUUCCCGGGUGUAGUGGUGAAAUGCGUACAUAUCGGGAGGAACACCACUGGCGAAGGCGGCCUCCUGGGUCGCACCUGACGCUCAACGCGAAAGCUAGGGGAGCAAACGGGAUUAGAAA